UGAGGGAAUAUUUGGGGUCAAUGGGCGAGAGCCUGAACCAGCCAAGUAGCGUGCAGGAUGACGGCCCUAUGGGUUGUAAACUGCUUUUAUAAGGGAAUAAAGUGAGCCUCGUGAGGCUUUUUGCAUGUACCUUAUGAAUAAGGACCGGCUAAUUCCGUGCCAGCAGCCGCGGUAAUACGGAAGGUCCGGGCGUUAUCCGGAUUUAUUGGGUUUAAAGGGAGCGUAGGCCGGAGAUUAAGCGUGUUGUGAAAUGUAGAUGCUCAACGUCUGCACUGCAGCGCGAAC
rnacentral:rRNA from 1 species